CAAGACCAGCACAUUUAUGUUGCUUUCAAUAAUCAAAGCAAUGCUGCGAAGAAGGCGCAUUAUACUAGACUAAAUGCCUCAAUUGAUGUUACUAGAGUUCUAUUGCAGCAAGGGUUACCUUUUCGCGGCCAUGAUGAGUCAGAGGAGUCCUUGAAUAAAGGAAAUUUUAAGGAAUUUUAUGCUUAUACAGCACAGCAAAAUCCAGAACUACGCAAGGUUGUAGGCCCUAAUGCUCCAGGUAAUAAUAAGUUGACUUCUUCAAUGAUUCAGAAGGACAUAGCUGAAUGUUUUGCAAAGCAAAUAUUGCAUUCUAUUCUAGAAGAAAUUGGAGAUGGUGUAUUUUCUUUGCUAGUUGAUGAAUCAAGGGAUGUGGCUGGUAAAGAACAGAUGGCAGUGGUCUUGAGAUAUGCUGGUAAAUGCGGAAGUGCGAAAGAGAGUUUAGUUGGCCUUGUUCAUGUGAAGGAGACAACUUCAAAGUACCUCAAGUCUGCUAUUGAUGAUUUAUUUGCAAAACUUAGCUUAAGUCUCAAGCAGGUUAGGGGCCAAGGAUACGACGGCGCGAGCAAUAUGCGA
rnacentral:rRNA from 1 species